GUUACGUGUCAAGCAUUAAAAAUAAUUUUUACGUUGUAAUAUAUCAUUGCCUGACAGUUUUACCAAAUACUUUAGUGACCUACUUUAGGGAAUUCUAGCUUAUGUUCUGAAAAUUUCGGUGACAACAAAAAGCUCAUGAGAGAAUGGUGGCUGCUCUUGAUUUGUGGCUUUGUGCUGUGCAUCUUGACAAAAUGGUUGAUGAUAUUCUUCCUUAGGCAUGUCUUUUUAGUUUUGUUAAUGCAUACUCCUUAAUUAUAAUAGCCCAAACAUUCUAAUGACUUGUUGAAUUGGUUGAAAAACAGGUUUGCUUGAUUAAGUGACUAUGUGGAUGCUAUACGUUUACUAAAACCUGAAAGCACCGUAAUGAUGGUGACUCUUGUUAUACCACCUCAUCAACUUUAAUCAGUGAUUAUGUCUGUUUGUGAUGAUUUUAAUUUCUAUGCUUCUAUGAAUCUUUCACGGAAAAAUCAGCAGAUGUGUGAAAUACCGCCUAAGGAUGCAUUUUCGUGAUCUUGAGAGUCAGUGGGACAAGAAGGGGUAGGUAUCCUUGGUUAUCUUUUUCAUUUCAUGGCUAGAACCCAAUAUCUAAUUGGUCGUGUGUAUUUUUUCUCAGACUGAAAAGAAAAUCAAAAGAUAUACAAGGCCCGACACUAGUUUUUAUGCUUGAAAAAGGUAAGACCAGGAUUUGUUUUUUGUUGUCUGAUUAACAUGUUCUAUCCUCUCUGAUCCUUUUUUCUGUUCAUGCUAACAGAAUUUGCUUAAGACAAGUUUGUUAGUUCAGGU
rnacentral:lncRNA from 1 species